AGGAAGCGCAGGAUCCACAGAUGCGACUAUGACGGAUGCAACAAGGUGUACACUAAGAGCUCUCACUUGAAAGCGCACAGAAGAACACACACAGGAGAAAAACCCUACAAAUGUACAUGGGAAGGAUGCACAUGGAAGUUUGCUCGGUCUGAUGAACUGACAAGACAUUUCCGAAAACAUACUGGAAUCAAACCUUUCCAGUGUCCAGACUGUGACCGCAGCUUCUCCCGCUCUGACCACCUUGCCCUCCAUAGGAAACGCCACAUGCUAGUUUGAAUGGCUCCGUCCCCCGCCUCAGCGUGGUUCCCCACUCUCCCGGCUCUCUCUCUGUCCUCCUUCCCAUGAUCUAACUCAUUUUUUACAUGUACAUUUUAAUUUGGAUUCAGCUGGUCUGAAUCUCUGAAUUUAUAUCAUUCAAACUUCCAUAUGGUCAGUAGUAGAUGUUCUCUAAUCCUCCUCUCCUUACCACGGGUCAGACCUAAAGAAUGUGAACACUUUUUUUUUUUUUUUUUUUUUCCGGGGAUGCUAAGCAAACCCUUCUUACAGAUACACUUAAUGUAACAAGAACAAGGAACACAUAAACUUAAAAUAACCAAUUGUCGGUUUCUCCAUGUAUUUCUCAAAAGAAUGUCAAAGUAAAUGUAUUAGAAAUACAGUAUCCAGCCUGCAAGUCCUUGCCAGGGACGUUCAUACCUCUGUGCCCUGGGAUCGUAUUUUGUGCUUGCCAGCAAGAAGGGUGGACCCUCUCCCAAGCUAGGUAGACAUGGAGCGAGAUUUCAGGUAGGACCGUCCAUCCACUCUUCUUCCCUUCCAUUGCCCUUCACAAAUCCUGCUUGUCAACUCGGAUUUAUCACGUCCUCUAAAUUAAGUCCUCGAUACUCCUUUGGGCCUGCAGCUAAUAAGGAGGUCUUUGCCACCCCUGGAGCUGAGCCAGAGCUGCUGAUUUAGGCGGGUGAUGUCUGUCAGUGAAGGGCCGAAUGCUCUCCUUGCGCAGCACAGAGUCAGAACAAAGGGGCAUGGCGCAGGGGAGAAGUGUGGGGGGGAGGGAAGAAGUCGGCCCUUCCUCCUAGGCGAGGGCUCUCCGGUGAGGUUUCAUCAUAGGGUUCGCUGCGCAAGGCAUCCCCAGAGCUUCAGUCUCUAUGCUCAACUGUGCAGAAGCAUACAGCAAAGCCGAAAAUGGAUGGAGUUAUCCCUGCCCCUGUCACCAUUCCUCCAAUGUCCUUAACGUGGGUCAUCGAGCAUUGACUGUCGGGACAUCACAACAAUAUUUUGCCCAGUAAUGGUAAAAAAAAAAAAAAAAAAAAUCUUUUGGGUAAGAAUAUGGGUGGCCUUUUACCCAACCUACUUAACAGCUUUUUUUCUUUGCAAACAGAGAAACGUUGAGGGGUAAUUGUAUUCCCAUAUCAAAUUACUCAUACAGCUUUUAUACAGAAACUCUUCUGUGUGAACCAUAGGGUGCCAAGUGGGCUGUCAUUUGUGUUUGUGAUGCAUACCGUAAGUAUCUGCUAAUGCUUUAGUGGAUGCAUUCAAUGUCAGACCUGAGUGACAGGAUUUGUAAAUAUAACUAGUUGUGAAGCACAGAUACCUUCAUUCGGGGGACAGAUUUCUGAAAAAAACAAAACAAAACAAAAACAAAAAAAACAGAAAACCACAGUUCAGGGAUUCAUAUCUUUAUAGAGUUCCAGAAUUCCCCAACAUUUACUGUUUUAAAGAGUUGGAAAUUGAUCACUAUCAAGUAUCCCCUCAGAAGAAGCUGAAAAUGACUCGUGUUUAUGUUAAAGAUAAAUAGCGCCAUUAUUCGGGGGAAGUUUUGUGUUUAGUUUUUGUUUUUCAAAAGCUGGCUUUUGAGCACCAUAGUCUAAAUGCCAAUAAAAAUAAUUCAUGCAUAGAAAUGUCAUUGGUUCUAAAUUUGAAGAAAGUGGGUGACGGUGGUCAAAUGUGGGUGCAUAUAACCAAAUGCGCCUUCAUCCCUCGAUAAAGGACGGAAGAGAAGAGAGAAGAAUGGAAUCCUGAAGAUUCAUCCCAGCCGCAACUCAGGAUCCAACACAACCUUAACUGGGAGGAAUACAUUGUUCAAUUGUUUUUAAAACAUCAGUGAAUGUGUGAUUGUGGAGGCCUGCAAAUCGUGUGGGGAGCUUACUUUGAUGGCGCUAUGUUAAUAAAAGUUAGUUGUAGGGACUGUGCACCUAAGAGAUCCCACUCAUCAGCCCUCUGAACCAGCUGAAAGGAAAUGUAGUUGAGAAAUGCAAAGUCAUUUUUUACCUUCUUGGCACUUGGUUUCGAUUUUCUUUCUUUUUUUUUUUUUUGUGUAAGCACUGCAAAAUUUGUUUAGAAUAUUAAAACCUCCUAAUUGGGCUUUUUUUGUCUGUGUUUUUGCAACUAUGACAUGAAUUGAGGGAUAAAAAUGGCUCUUGGGAAAGUAGGUAUUGUCUGUACUGUAAAUGCUUAGUCACAUUCAUGCCAAAGUGUUUAUUUCUAGAAGUGGUUCUUUUGCAACACACUGAAGAAUCAAGUUGGGAUGUAAGGAACUUUUUUGUUUUAAUGGAGAUAACCAGUAUGUGUGUGUUCCAACCCAUAGAGAAGGUAGGGGAAAAAGGCAAGAAAGGGUAGACUGAUCAUCUUUGAAUAAUUAGCUUUGAGUGUGAGUCCAGCUGAUAGAAAGCUUCGUAGGUUCUCAUGAAAUUUGAGGUGUUUGUCACGGCAUAUUUAAAUUUUGUUCAAAAGAGCAAGCAAGACCCUGCAAAGAGUAUUCCAUUACUAUUCAGCUUGCCUAGGUUAUGUUAACCAUUCAUUAACAAAGAUCCAUUUUAACUCGGAAAGAAAGGCAACCCAGAGAGGCCUUUCUCUGUUCCCAUUGCUGGCCUAUAUACUUUAGUUGACUGAUUGGCUCUUGACCAAAUUUUCCUUUUUUAUAUAUAUUUGUAUUUUACUAUGAUAGUUGAGAAAUUUAGUCUCUUAGACAUUUUUAGCUGUUAUUGUGGAAGACCUCAAAUACAAGAUAGAUGCCCUUGAACAUGUGGUUUUAAUGAUGUGCCAUGUUACUAUCAAUGGUGGUUUUAAAUUGCCAUAUUUUACAUUGAUGAGAAUGAUUUGUAAACAUGAAGUUAGUGUUGUAUAAAUUCUGUUAUAGAGUUUCUUCUGAUUAUUGUCCAAGUGUCAUCUGGGGGAAGUCAGAAAAAUUAAGGCUGAAUGCAUCAUAUUUUAGAGUUCUGAAAUGUGAAUUUACAUCAUAAAUGGGCAUUAACAUUCUAAAUCAUCUGGUAUGGAGAAUGUUAGCAGCAUAGCUAUGUUCAACCAAGGAAAUGCUAACUACACGGAAGUUUGAAGAGCCUUGGAACAGAUUUAUAGGGGAACUAUAGAUGUAUAUUUUAUUAAACACCCAUCUGCACUAUCAGUGUUGCACUAAUGUGGAAUUUGAAAGACUUUAUUGCUGAUACUGUAUAUCUAUCUGCACGUCAUUCCUGAUUAGAUUGUUUUAAAGACAAUCUCAAAGAUCUAAGGUUUGAAAAUAAUUUGGUUUGAAAAUAUACAGUCAUCUUGAAGGAAUUGCUGUUAUACGUGAAGUUGCUCAGAGUUGUCUUUAUUCUCUUCUCGGUCGAAGUUAACAAUUUCUAAAUGAUCGCAAAUUCACUUAAUACAUUUACAAAGCCAUUUUACAUGCAUUAAACGAGGGCUACAACAAUAUUACGUUUUACAAAUACUAGCACUUUUUUUUUUUUUUUUUGCUGUUAUGUACUUAGUGUUAGAGGGUCAAAAUAAUCUUUCUGCUUAGCAUCUCUUAAACCAUACCUGCAAGUAUAGCAGGAUUAUUACAUUUACAGUACUUUAAUACUUGUAUAAACUAUGCAGAAAUUUUUAAUAAAGUGUAAUAUAUUUUAUAAGCUAAUAAGACUGAAUGGGUAAAGGUUUUUAGCAUGCAUUAGUAUACUUGCAAAUACUGAAACAUUUUGGUAAUCUUUCUUACUAAAGAUGUGAAUGUUUAAUGUACCUUCUCUGUUUCUACUCUGUAGUCCAAUGGGAAUUCAGUAAUGACAUUUUGUCAUGUCAAACUGUGAACAUAAAUUUGUACUGUACAGUCCUCAUAUUCUAUAUACAGUAUGCAAUAUAUGUAUUAUAUACUUGUUAAUAAAACCAUCAGAAUAUUAA